rnacentral:piRNA from 1 species
UGUGUAUCUGUACAGAUCCGGAGGCUCGGC